GGUUCUCCAAAAUUUGGUAGAUCUUUUGCGCCAAGAACUUUCCAUACACUGAGCAGGAAUUUUAAAAAUGGUGGAACAAACGAAAAUCAAAGAUUUUUCUAUCAUAAAUAUAAUGGAAGAGUUGUUUACAGAUUCUCAUCCGGACGAGGAGGUUAUCAUUGGAGAUGAUGGUGAAGUAACUGGUGAACUCUGAUGUCUAUUAAAAGAUGAUAUACAAUUAACGUUAUAAAAUUUUUUUGCGAUU